rnacentral:rRNA from 1 species
UUCCGGUUGAUCCUGCCGGACCUGACUGCUAUCGGAUUGAUACUAAGCCAUGCGAGUCAUUGUAGCAAUACAAGGCAGACGGCUCAGUAACGCGUAGUCAACCUAACCUAUGGACGGGAAUAACCUCGGGAAACUGAGAAUAAUGCCCGAUAGAACACUAUACCUGGAAUGGUUUGUGUUCCAAAUGAUUUAUCGCCGUAGGAUGGGACUGCGGCCUAUCAGUUUGUUGGUGAGGUAAUGGCCCACCAAGACUAUUACAGGUACGGGCUCUGAGAGGAGUAGCCCGGAGAUGGGUACUGAGACACGGACCCAGGCCCUAUGGGGCGCAGCAGGCGAGAAAACUUUGCAAUGUGCGAAAGCACGACAAGGUUAAUCCGAGUGAUUUGUGCUAAACGAAUCUUUUGUUAGUCCUAGAAACACUAACGAAUAAGGGGUGGGCAAGUUCUGGUGUCAGCCGCCGCGGUAAAACCAGCACCUCAAGUGGUCAGGAUGAUUAUUGGGCCUAAAGCAUCCGUAGCCGGCUCUGUAAGUUUUCGGUUAAAUCUGUAUGCUCAACAUACAGGCUGCCGGGAAUACUGCAGAGCUAGGGAGUGGGAGAGGUAGACGGUACUCGGUAGGAAGGGGUAAAAUCCUUUGAUCUAUUGAUGACCACCUGUGGCGAAGGCGGUCUACCAGAACACGUCCGACGGUGAGGGAUGAAAGCUGGGGGAGCAAACCGGAUUAGAUACCCGGGUAGUCCCAGCUGUAAACUAUGCAAACUCAGUGAUGCAUUGGCUUGUGGCCAAUGCAGUGCUGCAGGGAAGCCGUUAAGUUUGCCGCCUGGGAAGUACGUACGCAAGUAUG